UACGAAGGGGGCUAGCGUUGCUCGGAAUCACUGGGCGUAAAGCGCACGUAGGCGGCUUUUUAAGUCAGAGGUGAAAUCCUGGAGCUCAACUCCAGAACUGCCUUUGAUACUGGAGAGCUUGAGUCCGGGAGAGGUGAGUGGAACUGCGAGUGUAGAGGUGAAAUUCGUAGAUAUUCGCAAGAACACCAGUGGCGAAGGCGGCUCACUGGCCCGGAACUGACGCUGAGACGCGAAAGCGUGGGGAGCAAACAGG
rnacentral:rRNA from 1 species